UACGAGGGGGGCAAAUGUUGUUCGGAAUCACUGGGCGUAAAGGGAGCGUAGGCGGGUUCUUAAGUUAGGUGUUUAAUCCCGGGGCCCAACCCCGGACCGGCACUUAAAACUGGGAAUCUUGAAUAGUGGAGAGGUCGGUGGAAUUGGAGGUGUAGCGGUGGAAUGCGUAGAGAUCUCCAAGAACACCAGUUGCGAAGGCGGCCGACUGGACACAUAUUGACGCUGAGGCUCGAAAGCAUGGGGAGCAAACAGG
rnacentral:rRNA from 1 species